AGCUCAAUGGUAGAGCCUCAGUCUUCCAAACUGAUUACGCGGGUUCGAUUCCCGUC
rnacentral:tRNA from 1 species